rnacentral:lncRNA from 1 species
CAGCAAUACUAAUGUGUUGGAAAUGGAUGAGGGGAAAACUGUCCCGGAUUUUCAGGUGGUUCAGACAAAUGAGGGAAAGGAGGACAUCUUGUAGCAGCAGUGACCAAAAUGAGGGUGAAAGCGGUCUACCGUAGAAUGGAAUAGCUGUAUAAUUCCUGACCUCAUCUUCCAAACUGCUUUUUGGAAAAAGAGGAGACAUAAAGGCAGAAAGAGAGUAUAUUAG